GCAAGUCGAGCGGACUUGAAGGAGUGCUUGCACUCCUGAGAGUUAGCGGCGGACGGGUGAGUAACACGUAGGCAACCUGCCCUCAAGACUGGGAUAACUACCGGAAACGGUAGCUAAUACCGGAUAAUUUAUUUCACAGCAUUGUGGAAUAAUGAAAGACGGAGCAAUCUGUCACUUGGGGAUGGGCCUGCGGCGCAUUAGCUAGUUGGUGGGGUAACGGCUCACCAAGGCGACGAUGCGUAGCCGACCUGAGAGGGUGAAC
rnacentral:rRNA from 1 species